rnacentral:tRNA from 6 species
GCCGGUGUGUUGGAAUUGGCAGACGAGACGGACUCAAAAUCCGUUGGUGGUGACACCGUGUGGGUUCGACCCCCACCACCGGCA